rnacentral:rRNA from 1 species
GAUGAACGCUGGCGGCGUGCCUAAUACAUGCAAGUCGAGCGAAGCGGGGACGGGUGAGUAACACGUGGAUAACCUCCUAUAAGACUGGGAUAACUUCGGGAAACCGUAGCUAAACCGGAUCCUUAUAUGUGGAUCCGGGCUGCAUUAUCUACUUGUUAAGGUACCGGCUUACCAAGGCAACGAUGCAUAGCCGACCUGAGAGGGUGAUCGUCCAAACUGGAACUGAGACACGGUCCAGACUCCUACGGUAGGCAGAAGUAGGGAAUCUUCCGCAAUGGGCGAAAGCCUGACGGAGCAACGCCGCGUGAGUGAUGAAGGUCUUCGGAUCGUAAAACUCUGUUAUUAGGGAAGCGGUACCUAAUCAGAAAGCAACGUCUAACUACGUGCCAGCAGCCGCGGUAAUUC